UACGGGGGGGCAAGCGUUGUUCGGAAUCACUGGGCUUAAAGGGCGCGUAGGCGGGAUGGCAAGUCGGUCGUGAAAUCCCUCGGCUCAACUGAGGAUCGUCGAUCGAUACGUGCCGGUUCUGAGGAUUGCAGAGGAGACUGGAAUUCCUGGUGUAGCGGUGAAAUGCGCAGAUAUCAGGAGGAACACCGAGUGGCGAAGGCAGGUCUCUGGGCCAUACUGACACUGGAGAAGCGAAAGCAUGGGAGCGAACAGG
rnacentral:rRNA from 1 species